UGUAAGCGUAUACCAAAGUUGUUGCAGUUAAAACGCUCGUAGUCGGAAUUUGGCAGUUCCGGAUGUGUGCACGUCGUGUGCGCACUUCGCGGGGAUUGCUUUUGUGGUCUUGCGUAGGAUGAGGCACUUUUAUUAGUGAACGUCCUCACGCAACAACUUUUUACUGUGAGAAAAUCAGAGUGCUCAAAGCAGGCAUUUGCCGUGAAUGUAUUAGCAUGGAAUAAUAGAAUAGGACUUGGUUCUAUUUUGUUGGUUUGUUGGGACUGAGUAAUGAUUAAGAGGGACAGUUGGGGGCAUUUGUAUUUCGGUGCUAGAGGUGAAAUUCUUAGAUUACCGAAAGACAAACUGCUGCGAAAGCGUCUGCCAAGGAUGUUUUCAUUGA
rnacentral:rRNA from 1 species